GUUGUUGCUGGGUUUUUGCAUAUUUUCACUGACAUUCGAAAUAAUAAAUCCCACCUUUCGCAUAACGGGGAAUUUUAAUAAAGAUUUCGUUAAAGGACGUUAUAUCCCAUACUUGGUAGCAUCAGCGGGUAUAAUAGCCACAAUUUUGGAAAUUUUUGGUAUUGUUAAGAGGCGAUUUAACUACUUUGUACCCAUUUUGGUCACCCUAUUGAUUGGCGCUGGUUUUGGAGGAUUCAUUAUAUUUUUCUUGUUAGAUGGCGGUAUCUUAACUUUUUGUUUUUAUGGAAUCAACUCUGCUGCUUUCCUGUUUUUGGUUUUUGACCCCAUAAUUGCCGUCAUAAAAGAGAUACAAUUGGAAUUUGCUGCCAAAAGACAAGAAAUUGAACGAGUUUAUGGUUUUUAAAUUUCACAUUUACUUUCAAGACA